GAUGAACGCUGGCGGCGUGCCUAAUACAUGCAAGUCGAGCGCGAGAGUGAGGAGCUUGCUCCUCAUGAUCGAGCGGCGGACGGGUGAGUAACACGUAGGCAACCUACCCUUGAGCUUGGGAUAACUACCGGAAACGGUAGCUAAUACCGGAUACGACUUUUCCACAUAAGUGGACUGGUUAAAAGGCGGAUUUAUCUGCCGCUCAUGGAUGGGCCUGCGGUGCAUUAGCUAGUUGGUGAGGUAGUGGCUCACCAAGGCGACGAUGCAUAGCCGACCUGAGAGGGUGAUCGGCCACACUGGGACUGAGACACGGCCCAGACUCCUACGGGAGGCAGCAGUAGGGAAUCUUCCGCAAUGGACGCAAGUCUGACGGAGCAACGCCGCGUGAGUGAUGAAGGGUUUCGGCUCGUAAAACUCUGUUGUUAAGGAAGAACACUUGAGGUAGUAACUGGCCUUGAGAUGACGGUACUUAACCAGAAAGCCACGGCUAACUACGUGCCAGCAGCCGCCGCCG
rnacentral:rRNA from 1 species